UUUAUCAGAUGAUGAUAAAAAAAAAUAUAAUAUUAGGACACCUUCUUACAUGGAUACAAAGCUGUGGAAGAGAGAGAGUGAAUUCUGAUGAUGUU
rnacentral:snoRNA from 1 species